AUUCCAUAUUGUGGGCAUUUCCUCAACAUUUCCCUGCACAUCUCCUAAUUUUCAUAUAAGGAUUCAUAUUCUAAUUGCACAAAGGAUGAAAUAUCACUCCUCAGCUU